rnacentral:tRNA from 1 species
GCGACUGUGACCGAAUGGUUAGGUGCCGGAUUGCAAACCCGGUUAUGUGUGUUCGAUUCACACCAGGCGCU